CGUAGGGUGCGAGCGUUGAUCGGAAUUACUGGGCGUAAAGCGUGCGCAGGCGGUUUUGUAAGACAGGCGUGAAAUCCCCGGGCUCAACCUGGGAACUGCGCUUGUGACUGCAAGGCUAGAGUACGGCAGAGGGGGUGGAAUUCCACGUGUAGCAGUGAAAUGCGUAGAGAUGUGGAGGAACACCAAUGGCGAAGGCAGCCCCCUGGGUCGAUACUGACGCUCAUGCACGAAAGCGUGGGUAGCAAACAGGAUUAGAUACCCUGGUAGUCCACGCCCUAAACGAUGUCAACUAGGUGUUGGGUGGGUAAAACCAUUUAGUACCGGAGCUAACGCGUGAAGUUGACCGCCUGGGGAGUACGGCCGCAAGGUUA
rnacentral:rRNA from 1 species